rnacentral:lncRNA from 1 species
CUGCCUCCUGGGGUUGUUCUGAGGCUCACAUGAGCUACUUGGAACUCAGUUCAGGUCCAGCUACAACUAGAUCCAGAGCUAAACUGAUGUCAUCAAGUCUCAGUUUGAAUGAUCCUCUCAGCUCCACUGUUCUUCAUCUUAACUUAAUUCCAAAGUCAUUCCACAGUGGUGAUAUAGCUGCCAGCAGCUACACAAACCCAAAGGCAACAGCCCACAUCCUUCUCCCAGAAGUCCCAUAAAGAGUCUCACUGCUUUUCAUUGGUUCUGAUUGUGGCCGACACUCACCCUUCAUCCAAUCUCUGUGGCCAGGAGAAUCCAGCGCUCUGAUUGGUCAGGCCUGGCUCCAUGGCCACCUGAAGUCCGGGGUGGAGUUAACUCCACCUGCAACACAUGGACUGAUGGAAAAGGGAAAAAGAUCUGGAAAUCCAAAAAGCUUGGAGAGCAAAUUGCAUUUGGUUUCUAUUACACAGUGCAGCAGAUUUAAUUAUUCUUGAAAAAAUUUUUUAUCUUCAAAGGGACUCAAGCUGAAGACCUCCUUUAGGUAUGUCGUCGGUAGAUACCUACCUCCAGUGGCUGGCUUGUUUUAGCCUCAUGGUCAAGAUGAGGAAUCUCAGAGUGGACUGCAGCCCAUGCUCUUUUCCAGAGCGUGUCAGAGGACAGGCUGUCACGAAGGCAGGCUUCACAGUGCCGGUUUCCUGAGACCACGGGAAAUGUGGCUGAAGGGGUCAUUGAUGUCUAACCUCCUGUGUUAUUCUGGGUGCAGUUCUAAUGCCCAGACCAUUGGUGUCCCCUGGAAUGUGCCCUUGGGUCAGAGCAAACUUUAAGUUAUUGUUAAUGAGGUUGUGCAUAUUUGCAUAAACUUUCAAGGUGAAAUAUUUCAGGGUUUUUCUUGUGGCUGGCAUUUGUUUUUCUUUCUCUAUCUUUUCACUUACCACAGUUGAUUCAAACCCCUUAAGCCUGGAAAGGACAUAGGAGCAAAGGGGGACCCCAUAACUGGGGGGCAUGCAAUAAUGGAGGCGUUGAGAGCAAGCCAGAGCUCUGGCCAAAGGUGGUCAGACAAUGGUCCAGAUCCCCGUUAUUAAGCUUCCCCAGGCUUCAUUUGUGGGAGUGGUGGCGGAUUGAAUAUUCCCCCCCCCCCCCAGAAUUCAUAUCUGCCUAGAACCUCAGAAUGUGACAUCAUUUGGAAAUAGAGUCUUUGCAGAUAUAUUAGUUAAGAUGAGAUCAUGCUAGAUUAAGGGUGGGCCCUAAAUCCAAAGGAGAGGAAUCUCAUUCUGUCUCCCAGGCUGGAGUGCAGUGGCAAGAUGUCAGCUCGCUGCAACCUCCACCUCCCGGGUUUGACACACACACACAGGGGAAGAGGGCCUGUGAAGAUGGAGGCAGAGAACGGAGUGACGCAGCGACAAGCCAAAGGGCACUGAGGAUGGCCAGAAGCCGCCAGAGGCUGGAAAAGCAAGAGCAAAGUCUCCCUGGAGCCUGCGGAGAGCCUGGUUCUGCCGAUACCGAUACCGACUUCAGAGUCGUAGACUCCAGAACUGUGAGGGAAUACAGUGCUGUUGCUUUAAGCCAUAGCAUUUGUAUUCAUUUGUUACAACAACCCUAGGAAACCAAUCAGGGGCUCUUAAAGGAAUCCAAGGCCUGAGGCAAAACAUGGGUCAGAGAAUGGAAAUGUGGACACAGAAGUCCCCGUGGAAAUGCCCUGAUGAGACUUGUUUGAAGGAUGAACUUCUGCUCCAAGAUAAUGUGGGCCUGUCCAUGCCACAUUCUUUAUUAGGCCACCAUAUUGGCUCUGCAGUUUGCACCCCCAAGGGGAGAGAAGGGACCGGAAUCCUGUCUAUCUCUCUCCACUGAGCCAAAUGUGCUGGUACAAAGCCUCAUUCCCCUGGAGAAAAGGGUUUCCUUUUCUUGGCUUGAAGGUGCUAACUCUCCUGCCUGUUCCUUAAGCUGUGUGCUGGGGGAGUGAGGCUGUACAGAGGGGCCACCACCAUCUAAUUAACAUGAUGGGCCGGGCACAGUGGCUCAUGCCUGUAAUCCUAGCACUUUGGGAGGCCGAGGCGGGUGGAUCACUUGAGGUCAGGAGUUCAAGACCAGCCUGGCCAACAUGGUGAAACCCUGUCUCCACUAAAAAUACAAAAAUUAGCCGGGCGUGGUGGCAUGUGCCUGUAAUCCCAGCUACUCAGGAGGCUGAGGCAGGAGAAUCACUUGAACCUGGGAGGCGGAGGUUGCAGUGAGCUGACAUUGUGCCACUGCACUCCAGCCUGGGUGACAGAAUGAGAUUCCGUCUCAAAAAAAAAAAAAAUUCACAUGACAGUACCAUAAAGACUAGCGGCCCUGAUCCAGCUGCACACAGCCCUCACUCACAUUGCCCAACCACAGAAUCCCUCAUUUCUUCCACAGGCACCCACACCCAUUCCCCCACCCACACACACGCUUUCAAUAUUCAGCCUCUCCUCAUUUUUCAAUGGUUCCAUAUUUGCAAAUUUGCCUACUUGCUAAAAUUUAUGUCUGCCCCCCAAAUCCAUACUCAGGACACACUCAUGGUCAUUUGCAGACAUGUGCAGAGUGACAAAAAAUUUGGGGUCUCUGGAUGUGCAUGUUUAUAUCUGAGAUCAAACAAGGAAAUGCUCUGCUCUCUUUUUUUCUUACUCUAAAUAAGAGUCCUUUUCAUAGUUUAUGUAGUGCCAUGUUUUUCGCAUUUUUGUGCUUUUUGUUGGUGAUUUUGCCAUUUAAAAUGGUCCCCAAGGGUAACACUGAAGUGCUAUCUAGUGUUGCAUAGCCUGAGAAGGAUGCAAUGCAACUUCCAGAGAAAAUAUGUGCGUUAGGUAAGCUCUGCUCAGGUGUGUCACACUGCAGGUGGCCAUGAGUUCAAUGUACUAAUGAAUCAGCAAUACAUAUCAUAGGAAGUGUCCUUAAACAGAAAGAGAAAUAAAACUGUCAGAGGCGUUCAAACUAGAGUGACUCCAUCUUGAAUAGGGGCUUGGUAAAAUAAGGCCGAUGCCUGCUGGGCUGCAUUCCUAGGUGUUUAGGCAUUCUUAGUCACAGGAUGAAACAGGAGGUCAACAGGACUGAUAUCACAAGAUACAGGUCACAAAGACCCUGCCGAUAAAACAGGAGGCCGUAAAGAAGCCAGUCAAAACCCAUCAAAACCAAGAUGGUGACAAAAGCGACCUCUGGUCAUCCUCACUGUUCAUUAUAUGCUAAUUGUAAUACAUUAGCAGGCUGGGUGCAGUGGCUCACACCUGUAAUCCCAGCACUUUGGGAAGUUGAGGCAGGUGGAUAGCUUGAGCCCAGGAGUUUGAGACUAGCUUGGGCAACAUGGCAAGACCCUGUCUCUACAAAAACUACAAAAAUUAGCUGGGUGUGGUAGCACAUGCCUGUUGUCCCAGCUACUAGGGAGGCUGAGAUGAGAGGAUCGUUUGAUCCUGGGGGUCAGAGGUUGCAGUGAGCCAAAACUGCACCACUGCACUCUAACCUGGGUGACAGAGUGAGACCCUAUCUCAAAUAAUAAUAAUAAUAAUAAUAAUAAUAAUAAUAAUAAUAAUAAUAAUAAUAAUACAUUAGCAUGCUAAAAGACACUCUCACCAGUGCCAUGACAGCUUACAAAUGCCAAGGCAAAGGCUGGAAGCUACCCUAUAUGGUCUAAAAGGGUGAGGGACCCUCAGUUAUGGGAACUCCUCUCCCCUUCCUCGAAAACCCACGAAUAAUCCACCCCUUGUUUAGCAUAUAAUCAAGAAAUAACCAUAAGUUUACUUAGUCGAGCAGCCUCUGCCACUGCUGUGGCUGUGGAGUAGACAUUCUUCUGUUUCUUUACUUCUCUAAUAAACUUGCUUUUGUUUUACUCUGUGGUCUCGCUCGAAUUCUGUCUUGCGUGAGAUCCAAGAACUCUCUCUUGGGGUCUGGAUUGGGACCUCUUUCUUGUAAAAAAACAAGGUUAUGAAUCAAUCAGUUGAUGAAGAUGUUGUGACCAGAGGCUCAUAGGAGCAUAACCCUCUAUUUCCCCUAGGAGCAAUGGUUCAGUAUUCGCCAUUCCAGCAUUCCAGAAAGUUUAUGGAACAUCACUAUAUCCAAUAAUGAGAAUUGCUUAUAUUUUUUCACCCAGGCCCGGUGAGGGGAA